GAUGAAGAACGUAGCGAAAGGCGAUACUUGGUGUGAAUUGCAGAAUCCCGUGAACCAUCGAGUCUUUGAACGCAAGUUGCGCCCGAAGCCACUAGGCCGAGGGCACGCCUGCCUGGGCGUCACACGUCGUUGCCCCCCCAUCUACUCCUUCGGGAUUGCGGGGGGGCGGAUGAUGGCCUCCCGUGCGCCUAGCCGCGCGGUUGGCAUAAAUACCAAGUCCUCGGCGACGCACGCCACGACAAUCGGUGGUUGCGAAACCUCGGUUGCCCGUCGUGUGCGUUCGUCGCGCAUCGAGGGCACGAAAAAAUGCUCGGCUUCGGCUCGGCUUUCAACGCGACCCCAGGUCAGGCGGGGUUACCCGCUGAAUUUAAGCAUAUCAAUAAGCGGAGGA
rnacentral:misc_RNA from 1 species